GUGAAGAACGCAGCGAAAUGCGAUACGUAAUGUGAAUUGCAAAUUCAGUGAAUCAUCGAGUCUUUGAACGCACAUUGCGCCCCCUGGUAUUCCGGGGGGCAUGCCUGUCCGAGCGUCAUUGCUGCCCUCAAGCACGGCUUGUGUGUUGGGCCCCGUCCUCCGAUUCCGGGGGACGGGCCCGAAAGGCAGCGGCGGCACCGCGUCCGGUCCUCGAGCGUAUGGGGCUUUGUCACCCGCUCUGUAGGCCCGGCCGGCGCUUGCCGAUCAACCCAAAUUUUUAUCCAGGUUGACCUCGGAUCAGGUAGGGAUACCCGCUGAACUUAAGCAUAUCAAUAAGCGGAGGA
rnacentral:misc_RNA from 1 species